GUUGAACAUACCUGGCUUCCAGUGCCGAUUACAGCACCUGGAAUGGAUGGAACUCAAUAAUUAUCUGUUAAAUGAAAAAGCACCAAAUGGCCCCAGCUGUUAAGUAGAUCUUGUAAUUUCCAUGUAUGUGUCUUAUAAAGGAGAGAGCAAGAGAGGUACCAAAUGUUUCAACCUACAGAACUGGAUAUCCCAUCCUGUGGGUUGUUUGUUGUUUUUGUUGUUGUUGUUGUUAUUGCUGGUAUUAAUUUUGUUUUGCUUUGUUUGGGGGAAAAAGAUUCAAAUGUUGUAAAAUACAUAAAUAAAACCUUUCUGAAAC
rnacentral:lncRNA from 1 species